CAGCAGCCGCGGUAAUACAGAGGGUGCGAGCGUUAAUCGGAUUUACUGGGCGUAAAGCGUGCGUAGGCGGCUAAUUGAGUCGGAUGUGAAAUCCCCGAGCUUAACUUGGGAAUUGCAUUCGAUACUGGUUAGCUAGAGUGUGGGAGAGGAUGGUAGAAUUCCAGGUGUAGCGGUGAAAUGCGUAGAGAUCUGGAGGAAUACCGAUGGCGAAGGCAGCCAUCUGGCCUAACACUGACGCUGAGGUACGAAAGCAUGGGGAGCAAACAGGAUUAGAUACACCAGUAGUCCCUGUCUCUUAUAC
rnacentral:rRNA from 1 species